CUUCACUGUUGUAGAUCCCAGGGUUCUGUCACUUUUCCAAACAUUUGUUGUGACCUGUUGACCUUAAGAUGAGAGGAGCAGUGGAAAGGCGAGAAUAACACGCACACAUAAAAAAAGGUGAUUUUGCAAGAAACAACACAAUUUCAGCGUAGCAGAAGGGUACGAAACGCCGACUAUAUUUAUGAACUCAUUGCCUUUGCAGUUAAGGUUCUUCAAUUAUUUAGUUUUCAGUUCUCAUAAAAUUUAAAGGAUUAUGACUAACUUCCUGAACCAUGACGACUGGUGACUCAUUGCAACUUACAAAGAAACCAGUUAAAUGUAACUUUGUAGAAAAAGAUAUUUUCAUUACAAUGCUGUAUAAGAGCUUUCAAGUGAGAUGCCAGCUAUUCAAAAUGUUUACAACAGACAUGAAGACAGUUCUAAAUAAAUAACACAACGGAUGCUCUGCAAACUAUAUAAGGCAAUGUUUUGCAGCUAUACUCUCAACACAUCAGUUCAUGUAAUAGAGAAUCUACAAAAGGACAUUUAUUUCCUAAUGAUAAGGAGAUAAGUAAUGAAGAACCAUCAAAUCCUAGCCCUGAGGUUCUACUCACUAAGUCACUCCUUAGAAAAUGGAGAAACAUUCAUUUGAUUCCUCUAAAUCAAACAGAAGAGAUUCUAAUGCAGCUCCGAGAUUGUAAUAUUUAUGUCUUGUAGUGCCUCAUAAAGUAUAAAAAAUGAAAAAGAAAACCUGCUUUCUGUAUCAGAUUUUGUGAUCUUUCUUUAGAGAUAGCAAUGAUACAAGUUAUGAAUUUUUCAUAGGAAACAGAUAAACAAGUACCUAAUCGACCCAAAUAAUUAAUUGAUUUUAACCUGGCUGGGAAAUUAAAAAAAAUUAAUACUCAACAUGGUUCCAAAAUAUACUCAGUAUGUUCAUGCACAGUUUACAUCAACAUGGCUGUUUGUAUAAGGAGUAUGUGUAAGAAAUGAAUUCUCUUCUCUUCUUUUAGUUCUCUAAGAGAAGAGUUCUCUUCUUCUUUUAGAAGGCUGUGAAAGUAACCACAGCAGUUUAUAAGUGUUCUGCAUGAUUGGUGCAAAAUGGAGAAGCAUUAUUCACUGCAGCACACUCAUACAUAUUGUGAAUGUAUUGUAAAUUGCUGACUUUUACGAUAGUUCACUAAUGAGGAGUUGAUGUGGGAUUAUAAAAGGGAUUAAACUAUUUCAAUUUCUGAGAAAAUUAAUAACUUGUUUAGUUUCAUGUACAUUUUUUCCUUUAAAAGAUUUAUUUUUGUUAAAAUUCAUAUGGUUUUAAUGAAGAAUAGAAGUACUUUGCAAAUUUCAAAUAUCAAAUUUUAAAUGUAUUCUGCUUAGUAAAGGUUACUAUAAGCCUUACCUUCCUUGUUGCAGGAGAAAAAGCUGCCUAGAUCAUGAUGUUUAAAUCAAAUCUUGAUCAAGGGGGUUUAUUGAUUUAUCAAUGAUGUGUGAUUGAUAUCAGUCAGUGAACUAUGUAUUCAAGUUCAAUAUCAGUAAUACAGAAGAUAAAGCAAGGUACUUAGAAAGCAUUAAUAAACACCACAAACU
rnacentral:lncRNA from 7 species